ACGAAUGACUACGAUGUGAAGAUGCGCAAUGUCUUCAAGUUUCUUGAAGGUGGCGACAAGGUUAAGGUGACUUUGCGGUUCCGUGGCCGUGAAAUGGCGCACCAGAACCUUGGUCGUGAGCUUUUGGAACGCGUUGCUGCGGAUACCAAAGAAAUUGGCCGGGUUGAGAACUUCCCCAAGAUGGAAGGCCGCCAGAUGGUCAUGGUUAUCGGGCCCCUGCCUAACAAAUAAGUUGACUGGUUUCGGGCCGGGACGGCUGGCCCGCUCUCCGGCUCACAUCACGAUCAGACAACGCAAAACGCCCCCAAAUUGCUCUGGGGGCGU
rnacentral:misc_RNA from 1 species